rnacentral:rRNA from 1 species
AGAGUUUGAUUCUGGCUCAGGAUGAACGCUAGCUACAGGCCUAACACAUGCAAGUCGAGGGGCAGCAUGGUUGAAGCUUGCUUCAACCGAUGGCGACCGGCGCACGGGUGAGUAACGCGUAUCCAACCUGCCCUUUACUCGGGGAUAGCCUUUCGAAAGAAAGAUUAAUACCCGAUGGUUUCGUGAUUCCGCAUGGGGUUAUGAAUAAAGAUUUAUCGGUAAAGGAUGGGGAUGCGUUCCAUUAGAUAGUAGGCGGGGUAACGGCCCACCUAGUCUACGAUGGAUAGGGGUUCUGAGAGGAAGGUCCCCCACAUUGGAACUGAGACACGGUCCAA